GACGAACGCUGGCGGCGUGCUUAACACAUGCAAGUCGAACGAUGAAGCUAGAGCUUGCUCUGGUGAAUUAGUGGCGAACGGGUGAGUAACACGUGAGUAACCUGCCCCGAACUCUGGGAUAACUGCUGGAAACGGUAGCUAAUACUGGAUACGACCUACGAAGGCAUCUUCUGUAGGUGGAAAGAAUUUCGGUUCGGGAUGGACUCGCGGCCUAUCAGCUUGUUGGUGAGGUAAUGGCUCACCAAGGCGACGACGGGCAGCCGGCCUGAGAGGGUGACCGGCCACACUGGGACUGAGACACGGCCCAGACUCCUACGGGAGGCAGCAGUGGGGAAUAUUGCACAAUGGGCGCAAGCCUGAUGCAGCAACGCCGCGUGAGGGAUGACGGCCUUCGGGUUGUAAACCUCUUUUAGUAGGGAAGACGCGAAAGUGACGGUACCUGCAGAAAAAGCACCGGCUAACCACGUGCCAGCCGCCGCAGUAA
rnacentral:rRNA from 1 species